rnacentral:rRNA from 1 species
CCUACGGGAGGCUGCAGUGGGGAAUAUUGCACAAUGGGCGCAAGCCUGAUGCAGCCAUGCCGCGUGUAUGAAGAAGGCCUUCGGGUUGUAAAGUACUUUCAGUCGUGAGGAAGGUGUUAAGGUUAAUAACCUUAGCAAUUGACGUUAGCGACAGAAGAAGCACCGGCUAACUCCGUGCCAGCAGCCGCGGUAAUACGGAGGGUGCGAGCGUUAUUCGGAAUUACUGGGCGUAACGGGCACGCAGGCAGUUAAGUAAGUUGGAUGUGAAAUCCCCGUGAUUAACCUGAGAAUGGGAUCCAAGACUGGAUAGCUAGAGUCAUGUAGAGGGGGUUAGAAUUCGAUGUGUAGCGGUUAAAUGCGUAGAGAUGUGGAGGAAUACCGGUGGCGGAGGCGGCCCCCUGGACAAAGACUAACGCUCAUGUGCGAAAGCGUGGGGAGCAAACAGGAUUAGAUACCCUAGUAGUC